rnacentral:rRNA from 1 species
UCGGUUUCUAUCUAUGAUAAACUUAUACCCAGUACGAAAGGACCGGCAUAAGAAAGCCAAUGCUAAAAGCACGCCUUUACAAUACCACUAACCAAAUUAAACCUUCCACCCCUUUACUUUUUAAACCAAGACAAGGUUAAUUAAGGACACAGCCCUUA